UCCCCUUUAAAGCACACUUAUUCAGAAUUGUGAUCCUUUGUAAACGACUUUUCAUUGGCAUAUCUGUAGCGUUGGUUAAUACAGUUGGCUCCACAUUAUCUCAAGUUUAAAUUAAUUGGACUGUUGUAGUAAAACGACUGGAAUUAUUGGAAUUGUUUAAGCCAGCUGAUUGAGAUUCACAUUCACUUUCCAAAAUACUGCUAUUUUCUUCAAGGUGUUUUUUUUUUGACAUCUACUUUGGAAGUUUGAUUAUAUCCUGAAACCUAAAAUCACAUCCUUAU
rnacentral:lncRNA from 1 species